rnacentral:rRNA from 1 species
GACGAACGCUGGCGGCGUGCUUAACACAUGCAAGUCGAGCGGUAAGGCCCUUUCGGGGGUACGACGAGCGGCGAACGGGUGAGUAACACGUGGGUGACCUGCCCUUAGCUCUGGGAGUAAGCCUGGGAAACUAGGGUCUAAUACCGGAUAUGACUCCAUGACGCAUGUUGUGGGGUGGAAAGCCUUGUGCGGCUAGGGAUGGGCCCGCGGCCUAUCAGCUUGUUGGUGGGGUGAUGGCCACCAAGGCGACGACGGGUAGGCCGGCCUGAGAGGGCGACCGGCCGACACUGGGAC